GUGCCAGCAGCCGCGGUAAUACGUAGGGGGCAAGCGUUGUCCGGAUUUACUGGGCGUAAAGAGCGUGUAGGCGGCCAAGCAGGUCUGUUGUGAAAACUGGAGGCUCAACCUCCAGACGUCGACAGAAACCGCUUGGCUAGAGUCCGGAAGAGGAGAGUGGAAUUCCUGGUGUAGCGGUGAAAUGCGCAGAUAUCAGGAAGAACACCAAUGGCGAAGGCAGCUCUCUGGGACGGUACUGACGCUGAGACGCGAAAGCGUGGGGAGCGAACAGGAUUAGAUACCCCCGUAGUCC
rnacentral:rRNA from 1 species